rnacentral:rRNA from 1 species
GUCCAGACUCCUACGGGAGGCAGCAGUGGGGAAUAUUGCACAAUGGGGGAAACCCUGAUGCAGCGACGCCGCGUGAGCGAUGAAGUAUUUCGGUAUGUAAAGCUCUAUCAGCAGGGAAGAAGAUGACGGUACCUGACUAAGAAGCCCCGGCUAACUACGUGCCAGCAGCCGCGGUAAUACGUAGGGGGCAAGCGUUAUCCGGAUUUACUGGGUGUAAAGGGAGCGUAGACGGCGAUGCAAGCCAGAUGUGAAAGCCCGGGGCUCAACCCCGGGACUGCAUUUGGAACUGUGUGGCUGGAGUGUCGGAGAGGCAGGCGGAAUUCCUAGUGUAGCGGUGAAAUGCGUAGAUAUUAGGAGGAACACCAGUGGCGAAGGCGGCCUGCUGGACGAUGACUGACGUUGAGGCUCGAAAGCGUGGGGAGCAAACAGGAUUAGAUACCCUAGUACU